rnacentral:rRNA from 1 species
UACAGGAGGGGGCAAGCGUUAUUCGGAAAUUAUUGGGCGUAAAGGGCGCGUAGGCGGCUUUGCAAGUGACGGGUGAAAUCCCUCGGCUUAACCGAGGAACUGCCUGUCAGACUGCAUGGCUUGAGACCGGGAGAGGUGAGUGGAAUUCCCAGUGUAGCGGUGAAAUGCGUAGAUAUUGGGAGGAACACCAGUGGCGAAGGCGGCUCACUGGACCGGUACUGACGCUGAGGAGCGAAAGCCAGGGGAGCAAACGGG